CAAAGCCGCGAGGUGGAGCAAAUCCCUAAAAGACCAUCCCAGUUCGGAUCGCAGGCUGCAACCCGCCUGCGUGAAGUUGGAAUCGCUAGUAAUCGCGGAUCAGCAUGCCGCGGUGAAUACGUUCCCGGGCCUUGUACACACCGCCCGUCACACCAUGAGAGUUGGAGAUACCCGAAGCCUGUGAGCUAACUUUUAGAGGCAGCAGUCGAAGGUAGAAUCAAUGAUUGGGGUGAAGUCGUAACAAGGUAAC
rnacentral:rRNA from 1 species